AGAAUCAACGCUGGCGGCGUGCCUAACACAUGCAAGUCGCACGAGAAAGGGACUUCGGUCCUGAGUACAGUGGCGCACGGGUGAGUAACACGUGAAUAAUCUACCUCCGAGUGGGGAAUAACUGAGAGAAAUCUUAGCUAAUACCGCAUAACACUUACGAGUCAAAGCAGCAAUGCGCUUGGAGAGGAGUUCGCGGCAGAUUAGUUAGUUGGCGGGGUAAUGGCCCACCAAGACGAUGAUCUGUAUCCGGCCUGAGAGGGCGCACGGACACACUGGAACUGAAACACGGUCCAGACUCCUACGGGAGGCAGCAGUGGGGAAUUUUGCGCAAUGGGGGAAACCCUGACGCAGCAACGCCGCGUGGAGGAUGAAAUAUCUUGGUAUGUAAACUCCUUUCGAUGGGGAAGAUAAUGACGGUACCCAUAGAAGAAGCCCCGGCUAACUCGUGCCAGCAGCCGC
rnacentral:rRNA from 1 species